UGGGGAAUUUUGGACAAUGGGGGCAACCCUGAUCCAGCCAUGCCGCGUGAGUGAAGAAGGCCUUCGGGUUGUAAAGCUCUUUCAGGUGGAAAGAAAUCACUACCCCGAAUACGGGUGGUGGAUGACGGUACCAUCAGAAGAAGCACCGGCUAACUACGUGCCAGCAGCCGCGGUAAUACGUAGGGUGCGAGCGUUAAUCGGAAUUACUGGGCGUAAAGCGUGCGCAGGCGGUUGUGUAAGACAGGUGUGAAAUCCCCGGGCUUAACCUGGGAACUGCGCUUGUGACUGCACAGCUAGAGUACGGCAGAGGGGGGUGGAAUUCCACGUGUAGCAGUGAAAUGCGUAGAGAUGUGGAGGAACACCGAUGGCGAAGGCAGCCCCCUGGGCCUGUACUGACGCUCAUGCACGAAAGCGUGGGGAGCAAACAGGAUUAGAUACCCUGGUAGUCCACGCCCUAAACGAUAUCGACUAGUUGUUCGGAGAGG
rnacentral:rRNA from 1 species